CGUCAUCGCAGGUCCUGCAGCCCCAGGAGGUGAGAUCUGCAGUGACUGAGAUACGAUCAAAGAAAUUAGGAGUCAUUAUACAGAAACAUUACCCAGACCCAGAAGACGGAUGAGAGGAAGUGGGGGGUGUCAGAGCUGGCUGAGAUCCUGACCCUGAUAAAAUAACUGCUUCUACGAAGCUUCUGAAGAUCUCAGGAGCCUCCUGCCUUUCUGUUCCUUAGGUGCAGGACUCUCUCCUUUUUAGAGCCAAUGGUCCUUUCCAUUAAGGACCCACCAAGGAUGGAGAAGGACAGAGACCACAUGGCUGGAAGGAUAUUAGACCUUACCCUAGAGAUCAUCUCCUUGAUAACCGGAGAGGAUUACACAGUAGUGAAGAAGUCGUCUGGCGAGUGUGUGACACCCCGUGUGUCAGG